CCUACGGGUGGCAGCAGUGGGGAAUAUUGCGCAAUGGGCGAAAGCCUGACGCAGCGACGCCGCGUGAGGGAUGAAGGUCUUCGGAUCGUAAACCUCUGUCAGCAGGGAAGCACGGUCACUGUGCUAAUCAGCAGUGACUUGACGGUACCUGCAAAGGAAGCACCGGCUAACUCCGUGCCAGCAGCCGCGGUAAUACGGAGGGUGCGAGCGUUAAUCGGAAUUACUGGGCGUAAAGCGCUCGUAGGCGGUAGGUCAAGUCCAGGGGUAAAUCCCCGCGCUCAACGUGGGAACUGCCUUUGAAACUGGCAAACUGGAGUGUGUGAGAGGAUAGUGGAAUUCCAGGUGUAGGAGUGAAAUCCGUAGAUAUCUGGAGGAACAUCAGUGGCGAAGGCGACUAUCUGGCACAUAACUGACGCUGAGGAGCGAAAGCGUGGGUAGCAAACAGGAUUAGAUACCCCUGUAGUC
rnacentral:rRNA from 1 species